AGAGUUUGAUCCUGGCUCAGGACGAACGCUGGCGGCGUGCCUAAUACAUGCAAGUAGAACGCUGAAGAGAGGAGCUUGCUCUUCUUGGAUGAGUUGCGAACGGGUGAGUAACGCGUAGGUAACCUGCCUUGUAGCGGGGGAUAACUAUUGGAAACGAUAGCUAAUACCGCAUAACAAUGGAUGACACAUGUCAUUUAUUUGAAAGGGGCAAUUGCUCCACUACAAGAUGGACCUGCGUUGUAUUAGCUAGUAGGUGAGGUAAUGGCUCACCUAGGCGACGAUACAUAGCCGACCUGAGAGGGUGAUCGGCCACACUGGGACUGAGACACGGCCCAGACUCCUACGGGAGGCAGCAGUAGGGAAUCUUCGGCAAUGGGGGCAACCCUGACCGAGCAACGCCGCGUGAGUGAAGAAGGUUUUCGGAUCGUAAAGCUCUGUUGUAAGUCAAGAACGGGUGUGAGAGUGGAAAGUUCACACUGUGACGGUAGCUUACCAGAAAGGGACGGCUAACUACGUGCCAGCAGCCGCGGUAAUACGUAGGUCCCGAGCGUUGUCCGGAUUUAUUGGGCGUAAAGCGAGCGCAGGCGGUUUGAUAAGUCUGAAGUUAAAGGCUGUGGCUCAACCAUAGUUCGCUUUGGAAACUGUCAAACUUGAGUGCAGAAGGGGAGAGUGGAAUUCCAUGUGUAGCGGUGAAAUGCGUAGAUAUAUGGAGGAACACCGGUGGCGAAAGCGGCUCUCUGGUCUGUAACUGACGCUGAGGCUCGAAAGCGUGGGGAGCGAACAGGAUUAGAUACCCUGGUAGUCCACGCCGUAAACGAUGAGUGCUAGGUGUUGGAUCCUUUCCGGGAUUCAGUGCCGCAGCUAACGCAUUAAGCACUCCGCCUGGGGAGUACGACCGCAAGGUUGAAACUCAAAGGAAUUGACGGGGGCCCGCACAAGCAGUGGAGUAU
rnacentral:rRNA from 1 species